UCCUGCUCAAUGAUAAUUUAAAUAGCCGCAGUACCUUGACUGUGCAAAGGUAGCAUAAUCACUUGGCCUAUAAUUGAGGUCUGGAAUGAAUGGAGCAUUGGGUGUGUACUGUCUUAAUAAGUUACUACAACUUACUUAAUAAGUGUAAAUUCUUAUAAUUAAAUAAUAGACGAUAAGACCCUAGAAAUUUUUUAAAAAGUUGGUUGUUUCUACUAUUUUGCUGGGGCGGCAGAUUAGCACAAUAACCUAUUUAGUUAUUAUAUGAAGGUAUCAGAAUAAACAUAAUUACUCUAGGGAUAACAGCAUAAUUAAUAAUAGAUUGUGACCUCGAUGUUGGACUAAGGUUUAUAUUAUUUAGAAGAUAAUUAUAUUCGCUCUGUUCGAGCAUAAAUUCUU
rnacentral:rRNA from 1 species